AUUCCUUAGCUUGCUGCCCAUCUUUUCUGUAUCAGAUAUGCUGCAUUUCAAGGCUAUUGUAGAGAACUGAAAAAAAGAAAGAAACACAAAACUUUCAUUGUUAAACCAGCAAACGGAGCUAUGGGAAAUGGGAUAUCUCUGGUAGGAAAUGGAGACAGAAUCCCAUCUCAUGAGCAGAUUGUGGUCCAGGAGUACCUUGAUAAACCUUUUCACCUUGAGGGAUUCAAGUUUGAUCUUAGAGUAUAUGUUUUAGUAACAUCGAUCAUGUGAUCCACUGAGGAUAUUUUUAUAUCAUGAUGGACUUGUUCGCAUGGGAACUGAAGUGUACGAAAGCCCUUCAGAUGAAAACCUGGAUGAACUUUUUAUGCAUCUAACUAACUAUUCAAUAAAUAAACACAAUGAGAACUUUGACCGAGAUGACAGUGAUGACAGUGGAAGUAAGAGUUCUCUACAAUAGCCUUGAAAUGCAGCAUAUCUGAUACAGAAAAGAUGGGCAGCAAGCUAAGGAAUUAGUUCUUCACAUUAUCAUAAUUGCAUUGAUGUGGUGACGUAAGAAAAAAAAAUCGAUCAUUGUAAUUUUCUUUUGAUCUGUUUCCUGAAUUAUUAUUACAGUAACUACACUUUUAUUUGAUUCAAUUGUUUAAUAGUCAACCUGCACAAAUACACAUACUGUUGUGAUCUGUAAAAUUUAAAGAGUGCGUACCGGCCAGUACAGUAUUUAACUAUGUGAUCAUUACCUCCGACUGUUACAUAAUUUUUUAGACGUAUAAACUAAAAUCAGAGUAUUUCUCCGAUUAGAAGUUUCAUAUUCUUCAGGGCUCGACACUAACUUUUCAACUUACCAGCCAAGUGGCUAUAGUGACAACUUAGAUGUUACAACAAUU